UUUUUUUUUUUUUUUUUUUUUUUUUUUUUUUUUUUUUUUUUUUUUUUU
rnacentral:ncRNA from 3 species